CGGGGGGGGCAAGCGUUGUUCGGAAUUACUGGGCGUAAAGGGCUCGUAGGUGGCCAACUAAGUCAUACGUGAAAUCCCUCGGCUUAACCGGGGAACUGCGUCUGAUACUGGAUGGCUUGAGUUUGGGAGAGGGAUGCGGAAUUCCAGGUGUAGCGGUGAAAUGCGUAGAUAUCUGGAGGAACACCGGUGGCGAAGGCGGCGUUCUGGACUGCAACUGACACUGAGGAACGAAAGCCAGGGGAGCAAACGGGA
rnacentral:rRNA from 1 species